rnacentral:rRNA from 1 species
ACACUCCUACGGGAGGCAGCAGUGGGGAAUUUUGGACAAUGGGCGAAAGCCUGAUCCAGCAAUGCCGCGUGAGUGAAGAAGGCCUUCGGGUUGUAAAGCUCUUUUGUCAGGGAAGAAACGGUGAGAGCUAAUAUCUCUUGCUAAUGACGGUACCUGAAGAAUAAGCACCGGCUAACUACGUGCCAGCAGCCGCGGUAAUACGUAGGGUGCAAGCGUUAAUCGGAAUUACUGGGCGUAAAGCGUGCGCAGGCGGUUUUGUAAGUCUGAUGUGAAAUCCCCGGGCUCAACCUGGGAAUUGCAUUGGAGACUGCAAGGCUAGAAUCUGGCAGAGGGGGGUAGAAUUCCACGUGUAGCAGUGAAAUGCGUAGAUAUGUGGAGGAACACCGAUGGCGAAGGCAGCCCCCUGGGUCAAGAUUGACGCUCAUGCACGAAAGCGUGGGGAGCAAACAGGAUUAGAAACCCGGGUAGUCCCA